AUCAGGAGAUGCCACGUAAAUG
rnacentral:siRNA from 1 species